rnacentral:lncRNA from 1 species
AGAUGAAGGAUUGCCAGAGACAAGCACUGAACAGCAGCAGAAAGCCGGUGACUAUUAACACACACUUCUUGACUUAUAUAUGCAACUGUCAGAUGGGACGAUUCAUCCACUUUGUUCAGAGCCAAAAUAUCCAGCUAUGGAGAGUGCGCCUGGGAAGCCUCUACAUUGGUGUGCAUUUCAAUAAUCUCAAAAACAUCUGCAGUACCCUUCUCCACAGACUCUUCUGACGCAGUUUGAAAAUGUUAUAUAGGUGGGAAAUUUCCGUAGCAGAAUGAAGUAUAAAUACUUAUAAACUCACAAUGAGGACGUGAGGCAAAGCGAUUCAAUCCUACAGUUGGCACUAAAACUUUGGUCCCCUGGAGCAAUUCUGUCAUCUUGACCUGAAUAUGGUUCUUCUAUAUACAUUCUGAAGAAUGGCAGUGUGUGACAGGCUUAUGUCGCUCAUGGGGCCUUUAGUUUAUGCAUUCCUGGCACAGCUCUUGCAGUAGCUCAAAACUCCUGGCAGGACUACGAACUGGAAGUACAGAUGAAAUAAAUCCUCUCUUCCCCUAAAUUGCUUUCGGUUGAGUGUUUUAUCAUAGCAACAGAAAAGCAAACUAGAAUAAGAAUGAUAUCAAAUACAUUAGUCUGAGGGAGAAAGAAGAAGAAGAAGAGGAAGAGGAAGAGGGAGGAAGAGGGAGGAAGAGGAAGAGAGAGAAAGAAGAAGAAGAAGAAGAAGAAGAAGAAGAAGAAGAAGAAGAAGAAGAAGAAGAAGAAGAAGAAGAAGAAGAAGAAGAAGAAGAAGAAGAAGAAGAAGAAGAAGAAGAACCAGGCACAUGAGUGUCUGUCUAUGUGGCCCUGACUUCCUAGAGCCUACUAUGAAGAUCAGGCUGUCCUCAAACUCUCAGAGAUCACUUGCCUCCCCAGUGCUGGGAUCAAAGGCCACCACACCCUGUAUAGAAUGCCCAACGACAUCUGGGACAAAGCACAGCUGUUCAUUUGGAAUGUUCUUUCAAGCCCAAGAGCCAUUGCAAAUGUGUUUGUCCUUAUGCCCAUAUCCUCAAGUAAAGACAAGUUUAGAGAGUAACAGAAAUAUACAAUAUUAUACAAGGCAGACUUCAUAAACUUCUAUGCUCCAUUGGACCAUGCCAUCAGACUGCAUUGAGAGGUAAAGAAAAGCUUUUAUGAGUAAGAACCGGAUAUGAAGAAGACACAUAUCUAAGAUAAAUAUAUAUUAAGCACAACUGAAGAGCCUCAGGUCCCAUCUUCAUAGUGUGCAGCUGUGGCAAAUACAACUGGCUUAUAAACAUGGCUCUCCCUAGCCACAGUUCCAGUACACUGUGCAAGCAUUGCAAGGGAUGUCAAUACAGUCAAUAAAUAUUUAUCAUGUCUUCCCUGGAA